rnacentral:rRNA from 1 species
CCUACGGGAGGCAGCAGUGGGGAAUAUUGCACAAUGGGGGAAACCCUGAUGCAGCGACGCCGCGUGAGUGAAGCAGUAUUUCGGUAUGUAAAGCUCUAUCAGCAGGGAAGAUAAUGACGGUACCUGACUAAGAAGCCCCGGCUAACUACGUGCCAGCAGCCGCGGUAAUACGUAGGGGGCACGCGUUAUCCGGAUUUACUGGUGGGAAAGGGUGCGUAGGUGGCAGGGCAAGUCAGAUGUGAAAGCCGGGGGCUCAACCCCGGUAUUGCAUUUGAAACUGUCCAGCGGGAGUGCAGGAGAGGUAAGCGGAAUUCCUAGUGGAGCGGUGAAAUGCGUAGAUAUUAGGAGGAACACCAGGGGCGAAGGCGGCUUACUGGACUGUAACUGACACUGAGGCACGAAAGCGUGGGGAGCAAACAGGAUUAGAUACCCCUGUAGUC